rnacentral:rRNA from 1 species
GGCGGCGCGGGGGGACCCUGGCGGGGAGCGGGGAACGGGUGCCUUAUUAUUGCGGAACGUGUCCGGGACUGGGGGAUAACCAGUCUAAAGAUGGGAUAAUACCGCGUACGAUCUACGGAUGAAAGCGGGGGACCGCAAGGCCUCGCGCUAUUGGAGCGGCCGAUGUCCGAUUAGCUAGGUGGCGGGGUAAAAGCCCACCAAGGCGACGAUCGGUAGCUGGUCUGAGAGGAUGAUCAGCCACACUGGGACUGAGACACGGCCCAGACUCCUACGGGAGGCAGCAGUGGGGAAUAUUGGACAAUGGGCGCAAGCCUGAUCCAGCCAUGCCGCGUGAGUGACGAAGGUCUUCGGAUUGUAAAGCUCUUUUGGCGGGGACGA